rnacentral:tRNA from 1 species
GCGGGCGUAGCUCAAUGGUAGAGCAUCAGCUUCCCAAGCUGAGGGUCGCGGGUUCGACUCCCGUCGCCCGCU